AUGAAAAAUAAGGAUAAGCUCAAUAAGCCGACGUCAGCUGGUCAUGUGGGCCAGAAACGGCAGACUAAAAAGGGCGCCGGUGCGAGCCAGCCGGCACCGAGUACGAUCCGUGCUCAGGACGGGCCACCUUCACCUAAGGAUAUCUCGAGGAGGGUGCAUGUGGCGGGUAGGGCGAUGCUACUGACAAAUAUGCUCAAUGCUGCAACCGGUGCUAUGCAGAGUCUGCACGACAGUGUUCUUUCUUUGGAGAAGCGGCAUCUCAAAGAGAAUGAUGUGGCAUACCCGGUUUUCGUGGCCAAGGUGCCAGAGGACAAGACCCCGGACAUCGUGAUCGUCGACCCCUUCUACAUGUGUGCCAAGCUCUUGAGCAGCGCUGGGGACCGCCAAGUCGCGAGUUCACACCUCGAAGACGUCAUUCUGGCAAACCCAGAUAAGGAUAACUUCCUUGUGGCUUACUUUCCCGAUGACACACAUUGCACACUCAUCCUCUUAAGCCCGAAAUAUUCCAUGGCCACGUAUUUUGACCCGAACCAUAACUCCAAGAUAGACUACACAAAUAUCAAGAAAGUUCUUGAUGAUGUUCUCCCCGGCUACGCCAAAUCUGGAGGCACCUUCAUCAGGGCAGUUCGUAAGUACGAGUUGCCAUCGUAUGUCGUGUACAAGGGUAAGGUUUCCGGAGUCUACGACGACUGGGAGGAGUGUCGGAGACAGGUUCACCGUUUCAACGGUAACAGUUACAAAGGGUACACCACUAGGGCGGAGGCGGAAUCUAGAUACGCCCGCUAUCUAGCGGGAGAGAGGAGGGAGCGUUGGAGGAACCGGAUGAAGACCAGUUUCAUCGAAUCAAUCGAGCUCGAGGAAUUCAGCUGGAGACUUCUAGUGAGCUGA
rnacentral:rRNA from 1 species